GAUGAACGAUGGAGGCGGGCAGAAUACAUGCAAGUCGAGCGAACAGACGAGGAGCUUGCUCCUCUGACGUUAGCGGCGGACGGGUGAGUAACACGUGGAUAACCUACCUAUAAGACUGGGAUAACUUCGGGAAACCGGAGCUAAUACCGGAUAAUAUAUUGAACCGCAUGGUUCAAUAGUGAAAGACGGUUUUGCUGUCACUUAUAGAUGGAUCCGCGCCGCAUUAGCUAGUUGGUAAGGUAACGGCUUACCAAGGCAACGAUGCGUAGCCGACCUGAGAGGGUGAUCGGCCACACUGGAACUGAGACACGGUCCAGACUCCUACGGGAGGCAGCAGUAGGGAAUCUUCCGCAAUGGGCGAAAGCUUGACGGAGCAACGCCGCGUGAGUGAUGAAGGUCUUCGGAUCGUAAAACUCUGUUAUUAGGGAAGAACAAAUGUUUAAGUAACUAUGCACGUCUUGACGGUACCUAAUCAGAAAGCCACGGCUAACUACGUG
rnacentral:rRNA from 1 species